rnacentral:rRNA from 1 species
UACGGAGGGUGCAAGCGUUAAUCGGAAUUACUGGGCGUAAAGGGUGCGUAGGCGGUUGUUUAAGUCUGUUGUGAAAUCCCCGGGCUCAACCUGGGAAUGGCAAUGGAUACUGGGCAGCUAGAGUGUGUCAGAGGAUGGUGGAAUUCCCGGUGUAGCGGUGAAAUGCGUAGAUAUCGGAAGGAACAUCAGUGGCGAAGGCAGCACUCUGGGACGUGACUGACGCUGAGACGCGAAAGCUAGGGGAGCAAACGGG